AUAUAUUUAAUUUUUUUUUAAAGAGAGAAUUAGUAACUACAAGUAAAAAAGAAAGUGCAGAUAAUGAAGGAAAUUUACAGUUAGAAGAACAAGAGAAAGAGAUAUGUAAUUUAAAAGAAGAAUUGAAAAAAACUAAAGAUGAACUGAAUUUAGCAAAAAUAGAUUUAGAUGCAAUUAGAGAGCAAUCCAAAGGACUUUCUCGAGAAUAUGAUCGUUUACUAGAAGAAUAUAAUGAAACACAGAGUCAAUUGGAGCAGUUAACUGGAAUAAAAGAAGAUAAAAAAGAAAACUGAGUUUGCAACAAAGAAAUUUAAAAUUUUUCUCCAAAGUGCUUGGAAAGUAAUAGUGCUAGAAUUUCUCUGUUUAUGAAUAUUUACAAAAAAUAUUGUAAAAUAUUUUUUAUAAUCUCUUAUCUAAAAAUUGAAAUAAUUUGUUAAAAAUUGUGAGAUAUUUAUUUUUAGUUGUACUUUAUCAGAAUCUGGUAAAAUUUUGUUUAUUGUUUAAAUUGUCAUUUUAAAUCUGCUCUUUAUUUACUUGUUAUUAAGGCGGUUAGUUGUCAUGUCAUUUGAAUGUUGUUUCUUUAAUUUGGUUUUACAAAGACAUGAAGAAUUUUAUUUAUUAUAAGUUGAAUGGAAUGAAACUUGUUUAAUAUACAGGUAGCCCUUGGUUUACGCCGAUUCACAAUAAUGCUGCUGCACAAUUUGCUGUUUCACUGUGUAAUUCCCUGAUUUUUCCUAUGCUAGAUUUGACUAGGUUUUGUCCAGAUUUGACCAAUUUUAGCAAGACACGUGUCCACUACAACAACACGUGUCAUGGUAGAAUUGUGGCUCGUUGGGAUUGGUCAGAUCUAGAUCAAUAGAAAAUGUUCCACAAACCAUUUGAUUUGAAUGAGCUGCAGACCCAACAUAGAGCUACAGAAGAACAAUGAAGAAGAAACACCAAGAGUUAUGAAAACCGCCAAUCUAAAGCGUAUCCUUUCAACUAUGGAAAGUUUGACAGAUGAACUUUGUGAGUUAGGCAAUGAUUGGGAGCAUCAUCACAUCCAUUUGACCAUAUUCUGAAAUUCUUAAUGAAAUAAAACAAAAAUGUAAACAAUUAAAGAUGGAUACUUUUUUCCGAAAAAUGUAAGUGAUCCGAAACUAAAAUUUUUUAAUAAAAAUAUUUCACUUUAU